AUAAGGGUGGUAUUCUCGAAAGCGGCCUAAGUUAAAUCAGUGGCCUAAACCUGGUUUAAACCAUGGACUAUCUUUUUUGCUAUUCUCGAAGGUGGCCUAAAGAUAAGCCAGGCUUAAAUACGUCAUAGUUCGGCCUUACUUUAGGCCGCUCAGAGGGCAGGUUUAAAUACGUCAAAGUUCGGCCUAACUUCGCGUGACGUCACUUUUUAGUUAAAUCGACUGUCCGCGGAGAGUGAACGGUUCUUUUCAAUUGAUGCAUGGGGAUGAAAAACAAGGCCUCUCCCAAGCUAUGGUGUCCCGCCUUGUGAAGUCCAUCUCAAUAGCCAUUGCCAGGAGAUGGGAGCAAUACAUCACAAUUCCUUCAACAAGAGAGGCAGUCCUGCAGAGUGCAGACCCAACAUGAAUUUUAUAAUUACUGCCAUUUCCCUGGCGUUAAUAUGGUCGGUGCUAUUGAUUGCACCCACGUAGGCAUCUCCAAGCCAGUUGGCCCAACACCAGUUAUUUCCUGAACAGGA